GGCGUGUAGGCCCGAUGGCGGGAAGCAGUCUUGAAAACUGUCCUAUUGGUUAGUAGCCGGUAAGAGUUCGAUUCCCUUACGCGCCUCCA
rnacentral:tRNA from 1 species